rnacentral:lncRNA from 1 species
AUGGAGAGUCUGGAAACCAGGUUGUUUGCAAGGUUGGAGUUUGAAGAGAAGAACAUUUUAUUUCGUCAUUUGAAAGCUGCUGAUAAAAGCCAAGGACUAUUAUGUUUGUAUAUAUUUUCAUAUAAAUCUAUUUUUACUAAAAGACAGUUUGUUUUGGGGUUUUCUCCUUGGACGAAGGGUGCAGCUUCCGCAGAAGAGGUUGAAUGUUUGGAACCUCAGUUUGAUAGCUGCGACAAGAUGAAGACAACUGUUUUCACGUCAUCUUGCCUGCAACCACAGAUUUCCAGUGUCUUACAAAAAAUUUGGGAGCAUACUCUUAGCUAUCUAGGCUGCUGAUGUUGGAGCUAUGGAAUCUGAAGACUAAAGAACCCAGCUACUGCUCCUUGAUCUUUUCUUUGAGGAAAGAACUUUCUGUGAACUUCUAAAGAGCACUAAGAUUCCCUUGAACUCUGUUUAAAAGUCACUAUCUUAUUUUCAAAGGCUGGCAUCCUGAUAGUAAUGUACUCUACUGUUGUAUGCAUUUUUCUUUUAGUCAUCACAGAAAGAAGAACUCAAAACCUCUUCCAUACAAUGGCCUCUAUCUUCUCAAAACUGACUAUUUCCAGGGGCCCUGUGCUAUGACUGAAUAGUAGCCAGCGGAGAGAAGUGGGCAGUGGUGGAGGGACUUGUUAUGCACCUAUAUUCUCUAAGGGACAAUCAAACAACAAAGAUAUAGACUUUGGAGGAAUCCUCAAAAGAUGACAUGAGUCCUGAGAAAGGUGAGAAGAGAGACAGAUGAGUCCUGAGGAAGGUGAGAAGGGUGACAGGGCAUUAUUCUGUCUGAACAAAACUUUAUGCCCUGUCGCUCAGUGCAGAAUCUUGGCCAAUGUUUGGAUGUGACCUCAAUUGACCUCAAAUUACUUAUUCAUCUUCCAUUACUAUGUAGUGUGCCACAGAAUUUAGUUUGUAAAUCCUAACGGAUAUUAAUAAAUAUUAUCAUGUUAGCACCAAGCCAGUGGCUAUUAAGGUACUGGCCAAAAGAGGUUGUUUGCUAUUACAAAAAAUAUCCAUAGCUAUCAACAAAGCCAUGGUAUCCUGUUGUAUUUUCACUGAGUCCCUGCAUAACACGAUGGACUUACACAUUUUUUUUGAAAAAAAUAUCAUCAUGUUCUCUUUCUCCCAAGAAAGAAGUUCUAAAAUGCCAAAAAUACCUAACACAAACCAUUUAGCACCUUACAAAGAUCAGUGCAGCCUGUAACAAUGAUGAAAAAUGACUGAUUGAAGGUAAACAAUUGAGUAUAGUGACAAUAAAAGUAUCACUUUUGUCAUAAUGCUACAUAUAAUGUAGAGUACGUAAAAUGCAGUGGUAUGACUGCAAGAUUUAAAAAUUAAAAUUAAAAAAAACCACAGGAUAAGCAGCCUUAAUAUAAACAUUUUACGUACAAAAAUAUUAAAUCAAAAAUAAAUAAUUCCAGACAUAAAUAUUAUACUUUACAACUUUAAGAAUAUACAUCACACACUCCCAUACAUGCACGCGCGCGCACACACACAUACAUAUGCAAACAAGCAUAGACAUGCAUGCAUCCAUACACACAUUCAGAUGCACACAAAGAGGAAAAAGUACAAAAGUGGAAGGCAAGAGGUAUUGCUUCAUUAUCCUUCAUCCGUCUUGCUUCAACUCCCGGCAUUCAGAACUCCUGGGAAUUAAAAACAUGAUGCAGACUUCUCAUUUCAACUUUCACUAGCACUGGUGGGCUAAAAAAGAACAGUUUGUCCCUUCGUAGGGGAAGCCAUAAGGACACAAAAGAGCACUAGUUCCUUUUCUUUCUUUAUAUAGAUCAAUCUGGGUCAAAUAUAUUUUUGUACUUUCUCCUGGAAGCAUAAUAUCCUCAACUCUAAAUCCUUGUAUCAUGAAAAUUACAUCUAUGGCAUUUCCUAUUGGCUUUGUAUGCUUCUAAAGGAAUUCUGCUUGUCUGGCCACACAUGCUCAAGGAAUUAUUUAUUCUUUCCUAUAAUCUGGAUGUCAACAAAAAUUGUGGGAUGGUUGCCAUCUCACAUAACCUCUAUGUGUACACCCUUCCAAUUGGCAAAAGGCAUUUGUGUUGUAUUCAUGAAGUAGUCCAAAGACUCUGGUGUGAAGGGCAUUCAGUGGUGCCACUGCAUCUGUAGCUGUUUAAUCACAACCAUGACAAUUGUUAUAAUUUAUUUGUUUUAUGCAUUUAUACAAAAGACAUACUACAACUGCAACUGCUACUAUUGGCACUAUUUUUGUAAUUUACUAAAAGAUAGUAAAACUGCCCUUCAUUGAAAUAUAUCAGAGCAACGGUUGUAUUAUCCUAAGUCCAAUGAAAACAAGACACAAUAAAGCAGAAAAAAGGAUUAACAUGCUGGGGCCAGGAGAGAAAAUGUGUUUUAACUUUGAACCAAAGAGACAGCAAAGUGAUUGAUGGCCAUUCCUUUAUGGAGACAGAGUUCCACAAAUAGGGCACAAUAAAAGCAGAUUCCCCUUUUUAUUAACACCAAAUGACUGAGAUUCUACAUGGCUGACUAUAGCGUAAACAUUCUGUAUGUGGAACUCUGCUAUGGUUGUUCUAUCACCAAGCCCAGGACUCAGCAUUGUGUUGUGACAGACUCUCCCAUAACUAUUCCAUUGCUGAUGGAGAAAAGGGAUGUGGAAGUUGGAGAAACCUUCGGCUAUGUCUCCACUGCUAGUCACAGGCCAAGGAGUAAGAGCUGCUCUAGAGCAGGCAUGGGCAAACUUUGGCCCUCCAGGUGUUUUGGACUUCAACUCCCACAAUUCCUAACAGCUGGCUGAUGGGAAGGU